CCGCACUGUCAAGUGUCUCCUUGGUCUUCCUCUGACUCUGGGGUCUCAUUCCGGUGCCAGAAAAAUCCCCCUUCUUGCAGAAAGGCCGGACUCUGCUGUGGGCCGGCCCUUUCGAUAGCUGGGAACACCU